AGAUUACAAAAGCCUUCAAACAUUAAAAAUGAAAAAUAUUUUCAAGACGAAUGUCUGACAGAGAUAUGAUAAAUUUAGGAUUUAUGCUCCGAUUUGAUACUUCUGGACUGCUGCAGAUUGAAGAUCAAUGAAAGAAACUUGUCUCUAACAGAACGGUCCGACUACAGGGAGCCGAAACAGCAAGCUGUAUAAAGAUAAAGCGAGGACGUCAUAAAGCUGAGGGAUUAUCGCCGCAAUGUGGACCCAGGAUAUAAGGUCACGUUUCAUUAGAUACAUUAACGGAAUCUCAGGCAUUGGUGUAGUCAAAUUUAUUACGGUACACCGCCCUUCAACCUAACACUGAUUUCUUGUUUUCAGAAGGAUCACACUAACAAAACUUCCAACCAAUAUAUAUUAUUAAAUAUCAUGAAAUAUUUUAA